rnacentral:lncRNA from 1 species
GUAUUAACCACGUCUAUUCUUUCUGUAUUUUGCUACUUUGACCUCUGGGGUCUUGCUGACCCUGGAGGGACUGCACCUCCUAGGGUUAGCCAAUUCCUAGAGAAAAUAAGCAGCUUGUCUGUGAGCACACCUCUCAAAUGCAAUGCAACCAGUCCAGAGCCCACAUCCACAACCACCUCCUUCAUGCAGCUCUCACACUCCUGGACCACUAUCCGCCUGCCCUAAUCAUCCCAGGGCUGGGUACUAGACAAGCAGGGACAGCAACUGUGCCCCAAAGUCUGCUGAAAUAAUUCAAAUGAGCCAAUCCUAAGACUGCUCAGCCUGCCUAGCCUGUUCUUCUCUGUGAAAACCACAGGAAAGGCUCUUGCUCACAUUUUCCCUCCACUCCCUGCUCUGCCUCCUGGCUGACCCCGCUGCUUCCCCGUGGAGUGGACGUGACCCCUCUUCUUGAGAUCCACAACCUUCAAGAGUCCUGUGGAGAAGCCGAGAUGAGGAGGAACUAAGGCGUCCGUCCCACCAGCCUUGAGCCAGCUACACCAGUCAGAACGGAAAUAGAGACCCAGAGAAGGUGUGGGGAAAGCAGAAGGAGGAGGCACCGGCCUUGCAGGCCCAAAGCCACCAACCAGGUCUCAUCAAGUUCAUCUCAAUUCUCUACAACCACAACGCCCUCAAAGAAACCUUUAAACCUGAUCAA